UACGAAGGGGGCUAGCGUUGCUCGGAUUGACUGGGCGUAAAGGGCGCGUAGGCGGUUUGCACAGUUGGGCGUGAAAUUCCUGGGCUUAACCUGGGGGCUGCGUUCAAUACGUGUAGGCUUGAGUUCGGAAGAGGGUCGUGGAAUUCCCAGUGUAGAGGUGAAAUUCGUAGAUAUUGGGAAGAACACCGGUGGCGAAGGCGGCGACCUGGUCCGAUACUGACGCUGAGGCGCGAAAGCAUGGGGAGCGAACAGG
rnacentral:rRNA from 1 species